GACGAACGCUGGCGGCGUGCCUAAUACAUGCAAGUCGAACGCUGAAGGAGGAGCUUGCUUCUCUGGAUGAGUUGCGAACGGGUGAGUAACGCGUAGGUAACCUGCCUGGUAGCGGGGGAUAACUAUUGGAAACGAUAGCUAAUACCGCAUAAUAGUAGAUGUUGCAUGACAUUUGCUUAAAAGGUGCAAUUGCAUCACUACCAGAUGGACCUGCGUUGUAUUAGCUAGUUGGUGGGGUAACGGCUCACCAAGGCGACGAUACAUAGCCGACCUGAGAGGGUGAUCGGCCACACUGGGACUGAGACACGGCCCAGACUCCUACGGGAGGCAGCAGUAGGGAAUCUUCGGCAAUGGACGGAAGUCUGACCGAGCAACGCCGCGUGAGUGAAGAAGGGUUUCGGAUCGUAAAGCUCUGUUGUAAGAGAAGAACGAGUGUGAGAGUGGAAAGUUCACACUGUGACGGUAUCUUACCAGAAAGGGACGGCUAACUACGUA
rnacentral:rRNA from 1 species